GAGCGAUUAAGGGAGAGAAUGAUCAAAGUGCGGGAGCUUUUUCGGGACAUUGAUUCAAUAGAAUUUGUUAUUGUAACAAUUCCCACGAGCAAGACAUCAACUGUUUGUGAGCUCAUUUUGUUCUCAGUACAAGGCUUGACAUUUGAAGUUGUCUUGUGAUUAUCAACUGAUCUAUUGGAUUGACUUUCUGUGGAGCACAUUUGAUGUUUGAAGUCGUCUUAUGAUUGUGGUAGUUCACGUCUUAUAAGAAAUAUACCCUUUUUUCAUAAUAA